rnacentral:tRNA from 1 species
GGUGUAGCUCAGUGUCAGAGCGUGUGCUUAGCAGGCACAAGGCCCUGAGUUCAAUCCCCAGUACC